UACGAAGGGGGCUAGCGUUGCUCGGAAUUACUGGGCGUAAAGCGCACGUAGGCGGCUUCUUAAGUCGGUGGUGAAAUCCUGGAGCUCAACUCCAGAACUGCCUUCGAUACUGGGAAGCUCGAGUCCGGGAGAGGUGAGUGGAACUGCGAGUGUAGAGGUGAAAUUCGUAGAUAUUCGCAAGAACACCAGUGGCGAAGGCGGCUCACUGGCCCGGUACUGACGCUGAGGUGCGAAAGCGUGGGGAGCAAACAAG
rnacentral:rRNA from 1 species